GAUGAACGCUAGCGGCAGGCUUAAUACAUGCAAGUCGAGGGGUAGCAAGAUUGUAGCAAUACAAUUGUUGACGACCGGCAAACGGGUGCGGAACACGUACACAACCUUCCUACAAGUGGGGAAUAGCCCAGAGAAAUAUGGAUUAAUACCCCGUAACAUAGCGAUGUGGCAUCACAUUGCUAUUAUAGCUUCGGCGCUUGUUGAUGGGUGUGCGGCUGAUUAGAUAGUUGGCGGGGUAACGGCCCACCAAGUCUACGAUCAGUAGCUGAUGUGAGAGCAUGAUCAGCCACACGGGCACUGAGACACGAGCCCGACUCCUACGGGAGGCAGCAGUAAGGAAUAUUGGACAAUGGACGCAAGUCUGAUCCAGCCAUGCCGCGUGAAGGAUUAAGGUCCUCUGGAUUGUAAACUUCUUUUAUAAGGGACGAAAAAAGGUCUUUCUAGAUCGUCUGACGGUACCUUAUGAAUAAGCACCGGCUAACUCCGUGCCAGCCGCCGCAGUAACAC
rnacentral:rRNA from 1 species